CCUACGGGGGGCAGCAGUGGGGAAUCUUGCGCAAUGGACGAAAGUCUGACGCAGCCACGCCGCGUGAGUGAAGAAGGCCUUCGGGUUGUAAAGCUCUGUCGGAAGGGACAAAAACCAUUAUGGUGAAUAGCCAUAGUGCUUGAUGGUACCUUUAAAGGAAGCACCGGCUAACUUCGUGCCAGCAGCCGCGGUAAUACGAAGGGUGCAAGCGUUGCUCGGAAUUAUUGGGCGUAAAGGGUAGGUAGGUGGUUGCGUAUGUCUGAGGUGAAAUCCCCGAGCUUAACUUGGGAAGUGCCUUGGAAACGGCGUAACUAGAGUGCUGGAGAGGUUCGUAGAAUUCCCGGUGUAGCGGUGAAAUGCGUAGAGAUCGGGAGGAAUACCAGAGGCGAAAGCGACGAACUGGACAGUUACUGACACUCAACUACGAAAGCGUGGGGAGCAAACAGGAUUAGAUACCCUUGUAGUC
rnacentral:rRNA from 1 species